UGGGGAAUCUUAGACAAUGGGGGCAACCCUGAUCUAGCCAUGCCGCGUGAACGAAGAAGGCCUUAGGGUUGUAAAGUUCUUUCGCCGGGGAAGAUAAUGACGGUACCCGGAGAAGAAGCCCCGGCUAACUCCGUGCCAGCAGCCGCGGUAAUACGGAGGGGGCUAGCGUUGUUCGGAAUUACUGGGCGUAAAGCGCGCGUAGGCGGACCAUUAAGUCAGGGGUGAAAUCCCGGGGCUCAACCCCGGAACUGCCUUUGAUACUGGCGGUCUUGAGUCCGAGAGAGGUGAGUGGAAUUCCGAGUGUAGAGGUGAAAUUCGUAGAUAUUCGGAGGAACACCAGUGGCGAAGGCGGCUCACUGGCUCGGUACUGACGCUGAGGUGCGAAAGCGUGGGGAGCAAACAGGAUUAGAUACCCCCGUAGUCC
rnacentral:rRNA from 1 species